rnacentral:rRNA from 1 species
UACGAGAGGCCCAAACGUUAUUCGGAUUUACUGGGCUUAAAGAGUUCGUAGGCGGCGCAGAAAGUGGGGUGUGAAAGCCCUCGGCUCAACCGAGGAAUUGCGCUCCAAACUACUGUGCUCGAGGAACCUAGAGGUGAGCAGAACUGAUGGUGGAGCGGUGAAAUGCGUUGAUAUCAUCAGGAAUACCGGAGGCGAAGGCGGCUCACUGGGGGUUUUCUGACGCUGAGGAACGAAAGCCAGGGGAGCGAACGGG